ACGUCUACAUCACGUUGAAACAACGGUUUCCGUAAGAUCACCGAAGUUAAGCAACGUCAAGCCUGGUCAGUACCUAGACAGGUAACCGCUGGGGUAUACCGGGUGUUGUAAG